CAGGAUUCCCCUAGUAACUGCGAGUGAAGAGGGAAAAGCUCAAAUUUAAAAUCUGGCUUCCUUUGGUUGUCCGAGUUGUAAUCUAGAGAAGCGUCAUCCGCGCCGGACCGUGUACAAGUCUCCUGGAACGGAGCGUCAUAGAGGGUGAGAAUCCCGUCUUCGACACGGACUACCGGGGCUUUGUGAUGCGCUCUCAAAGAGUCGAGUUGUUUGGGAAUGCAGCUCAAAAUGGGUGGUAAAUUCCAUCUAAAGCUAAAUAUUGGCGAGAGACCGAUAGCGAACAAGUACCGUGAGGGAAAGAUGAAAAGAACUUUGGAAAGAGAGUUAAACAGUACGUGAAAUUGCUGAAAGGGAAACGCUUGAAGUCAGUCGCGUUGGUCGAGAAUCAGCCUUGCUUUUGCAUGGCUUAUUUCACGGUUCAACGGGUCAGCAUCAAUUUUGAUCAUUGGAUAAAGAUGAGAGGAAUGUAGCAUUCUUUUGAAUGUGUUAAAGCCUCUUGUUGUAUACAGUGGUUGGGAUUGAGGAACUCAGCACGCCGCAAGGCCGGGAGCAAUCCACGUUCGUGCUUAGGAUGCUGGCAUAAUGGCUUUAAUCGACCCGUCUUGAAACACGGACCAAGGAGUCUAACAUGCCUGCAAGUGUUUGGGUGUAAAACCCAUGCGCGUAAUGAAAGUGAAAGUUGAGAUCCCUGUCGUGGGGAGCAUCGACGCCCGGACCAGACCUUUUGUGACGGAUCCGCGGUAGAGCAUGUAUGUUGGGACCCGAAAGAUGGUGAACUAUGCCUGAAUAGGGUGAAGCCAGAGGAAACUCUGGUGGAGGCUCGKAGCGAUUCUGACGUGCAAAUCGAUCGUCAAAUUUGGGUAUAGGGGCGAAAGACUAAUCGAACC
rnacentral:rRNA from 1 species